GAUGAACGCUGGCGGCAUGCCUAAGACAUGCAAGUCGAACGAAGUGGCCUAUAGAAAGUAGAGUGCUUGCACGAAGCUGGAAAUAGAUUUCCACUUAGUGGCAGACGGGUGAGUAACACGUGGGUAACCUGCCUCAGAGACUGGGAUAACUAUUGGAAACGAUAGCUAAUACCGGAUGAUUCACAGAUACAAAAGUAACUGUGCUAAAAGGAGCUACGGCUUCACUUUGAGAUGGGCUUGCGUUGUAUUAGCUAGUUGGUAGGGUAAAGGCCUACCAAGGCAACGAUGCAUAUCCGAGCUGAGAGGCUGAUCGGACACACUGGGACUGAGACACGGCCCAG
rnacentral:rRNA from 1 species